CCUACGGGUGGCAGCAGUGAGGAAUAUUGGUCAAUGGCCGGAAGGCUGAACCAGCCAUGCCGCGUGAAGGUCAGUGCCCUAUGGGCGUUAAACUUCUUUUGUGCGGGAGCAAUAAUGGUCACGUGUGGCCAGACGAGAGUACCGUACGAAUAAGCAUCGGCUAACUCCGUUCCAGCAGCCGCGGUAAUACGGAGGAUCCGAGCGUUAUCCGGAUUUAUUGGGUUUAAAGGGGGCGUAGAUGGGUUGUUAAGUCAGUUGUGAAAGUGUGCGGGUCACCCGUAGAAUUGCAAUUGAUACUGGCAGUCUGGAGUACAGAUGAGGUAGGCGGAAUUCGUGGUGUAGCGGUGAAAUGCUUAGAUAUCACGAAGAACCCCGAUUGCGAAGGCAGCUUACUAAACUGUGACUGACGUUGAUGCACGAAAGUGUGGGUAUCAAACAGGAUUAGAUACCCCAGUAGUC
rnacentral:rRNA from 1 species